GGGGAUGACUGGCUUCGACGGGGAAGGCUGGUCCUGGACUGCAAGCCGAGCACGCUUUACACCUCGUAAAACUGGAAGCAAACAAUAAGUGCAAACUCACGCACAAACUACAGCGCUAUGCCUUUAGCUGCUUAAUCGCAGUUAAAAAUUAGCGUGCGGCUUCCUUAACGGGAAGCUCCGUCUACCUCGUUCGCUCGUUGGCCGGGUGGGUGUUAGGCGACAUGAAUGCCAACGUGCUGCGUCUUGAUGCUGCUAAAGAUGCUUAAGCGGCUCUUUCGGGAGUCAGCAGCGGGCUGUUAGCUGACCCAGUUAGUCGGGGCGCCUAUCAGCUAAACCUAUAAAUUGACUAACUAAGCUUGUAGACGUUUAGAGGCCGAAUUUUUCGGACGCGGGUUCGAUUCCCGCCAUCUCCACC
rnacentral:tmRNA from 1 species